rnacentral:ribozyme from 1 species
UUUUUUUUUUUUUUUUUUUUUUUUUUUUGUUCACCGCAUUCUGUGAGAAUCCGUUGAGGUCACAACUGUGGCAGGGCUGAAACGUUGCACCUGCAAGGCAAAAAA